UUUCCGUAGGUGAACCUGCGGAAGGAUCAUUAGUGAACGCCCUCGCGGGCUUAUAACUAUUCCAAACCUCUGUGAACCGUGCCCUUCGGGGCUAUUUUACAAACAUGGUGUAAUGAACGUCAUAUAUCAUAACAAACAAAACUUUCAACAACGGAUCUCUUGGCUCUCGCAUCGAUGAAGAUCGCAGC
rnacentral:misc_RNA from 1 species